AGAAACGCUUAUUUUUGUUCUUGCUCUGAGAUCACUCCUUAUUGUUAAUUAAAUAAAUCAAACUGGUGGAGAAAAUAGCAAAUGCUUAGCAAAAGUAUAUUUCAUCAAACUGUCUGAUCCUGGGGAUUCCAAGUCUUUAUUCUACAAGGAAAACUACUCUGUUGGAUUUAUAUAUAUAUAUAUAUUUAUGUACAUACACACGCAUACAAAUGUCAUAGGUAUGUGUACAAGUAUAUGCGAUGGCUAAUAUCAAGUCUCUCUCUCUUUGCUGCUGGAGGUGAUCAUGUUUCUUCUUUCCAGACCUAAAGACUGUCUCUUUCAUAGGUAACAAAGACAAAAAGUCCCAGAGACCCAUUGAUUUCAUUCCCCUUGGGAAACUUAAGUUUUGUCUGCAAGUGGGGCAAACACUUCACUAGCAAGGGAGAGGAAAUAAGAUCAUGUUCCCAUCUGCUUCACUUGGUGCCUCAGUAGCAAAACUUCUCUGCAAUCUCUAAGAAGGCUGACGCAGCUGGCAAACACUGAAAAAAAAAAAAAAAAAAAAAAAAAAAAAAGAUAAUCCUAGAUUUCCAGGCAACCAGGGGAAUCCUGCAAACAACCCUGAAUGUACCAUAGAAUCAUAGAAUCAUUAAGGUUGAAAAAGACCACUAAGAUCAUCUAAUUCAACCAUCAACUCAUCUCCACCAUCCCUACUAAACCGUGUCCCUCGGUGCCACAUCUGCCCUUUUCCUGAACACCUCCAGGGACAGUGACACCACCACCUCCCUGGGCAGCCUGUUCCAGUGCAUUACCACAUUUCCUCAGAAGAAAUUUUUCCUAACUUCCAGCCUGAACCUCCCCUAGCGCAACUUCAAGCCAUUACCAUCUUCUGGUAUAUUUUGUGGAGCAAGACCUAGUGCCAGGUGGAUCCCUGCUGCCUUUCAAAUGUAAGGGCUGCGGUUUCAUGAAGCAGAUGAAAAUUUGCUUUUUAUUCACCCUUUGAUCAAGACCAACUUCCAGCAGCAGCCAGUGGGCUCUGCCGGCUUCCGUUUUGGAUCUGCCCCAUUCUGGGUACUGGUUUCUGGAGUAACCAUCCAUGCACGCUUUAAGGCAUGUUUUUGUUUCUCAUCUAUCUAUUCACUUAACAAAUUAGUUCAGUCUAGUCUCAUGCAAAUUGGAGGUUCGAUUUCCUUGUAUACUUUGAAAUUCUUCCUCUGCUUUUACCAGCCAAUGUGCAGCUCCUGUUGUUUUCCUGCUAGGAUGGGUUUUCAUUGCUCGCUGCAGGCUGUAGAAGUUAAUACAUGUGAAUACAAUCCAAGUAAGCUGAGUAUAUGUUUUACUAUAUACAGAGAGUAAAACAUGGGGACAACAGUACAGAGAGAGGAAGGGGGGAGAGAGAAAAGAGUCAGAUUUGUUUCCUUUCUGAUAACGUGAAGUAAAAAUAGAAAGAAAAAAAAAUUCUGGUCAACUCAGAGGAAAGAGUGCAACUAGUUACUGCACAAAGCCCAAAUGCAAAAUGUCAGCUUCCUCCUAGAUGUUGAGGGAGAGAGGUGUAAGGUUUCUUCUCACGUGUGAGGACAGAGGAUGGAGAAGACAUCAUUUUGGCAGCACCUAGAGAUGCCACAAAGCCUAUGGGUCAGUUUACAGG
rnacentral:lncRNA from 1 species